AGUGAACGCUGGCGGUAGGCCUAACACAUGCAAGUCGAACGGCAGCACAGUAAGAGCUUGCUCUUACGGGUGGCGAGUGGCGGGCGGGUGAGGAAUACAUCGGAAUCUACUUUUUCGUGGGGGAUAACGUAGGGAAACUUACGCUAAUACCGCAUACGACCUACGGGUGAAAGCAUGGGAUCUUCGGACCUUGCGCGAGUGAAUGAGCCGAUGUCGGAUUAGCUAGUUGGCGGGGUAAAGGCCCACCAAGGCGACGAUCCGUAGCUGGUCUGAGAGGAUGAUCAGCCACACUGGAACUGAGACACGGUCCAGACUCCUACGGGAGGCAGCAGUGGGGAAUAUUGGACAAUGGGCGCAAGCCUGAUCCAGCCAUACCGCGUGGGUGAAGAAGGCCUUCGGGUUGUAAAGCCCUUUUGUUGGGAAAGAAGAGCAGCAGGUUAAUACCUCGCUGUUCUGACGGUACCCAAAGAAUAAGCACCGGCUAACUUCGUG
rnacentral:rRNA from 1 species